rnacentral:rRNA from 1 species
AUUGAACGCUGGCGGCAGGCCUAACACAUGCAAGUCGAGCGGAUGAAGGGAGCUUGCUCCUGGAUUCAGCGGCGGACGGGUGAGUAAUGCCUAGGAAUCUGCCUGGUAGUGGGGGAUAACGUCCGGAAACGGGCGCUAAUACCGCAUACGUCCUGAGGGAGAAAGUGGGGGAUCUUCGGACCUCACGCUAUCAGAUGAGCCUAGGUCGGAUUAGCUAGUUGGUGGGGUAAAGGCCUACCAAGGCGACGAUCCGUAACUGGUCUGAGAGGAUGAUCAGUCACACUGGAACUGAGACACGGUCCAGACUCCUACGGAAGGCAGCAGUGGGGAAUAUUGGACAAUGGGCGAAAGCCUGAUCCAGCCAUGCCGCGUGUGUGAAGAAGGUCUUCGGAUUGUAAAGCACUUUAAGUUGGGAGGAAGGGCAGAAAGUUAAUACCUUGCUGUUUUGACGUUACCAACAGAAUAAGCACCGGCUAACUUCGUG